ensembl:snoRNA SNORD30 Small nucleolar RNA SNORD30
AGUUAUGAUGAUUUAUCCUUUGGAAUCUCGUUCGUCUGAAACCUUGUUGAGAGACUUUGAAACUGAUGCUU